rnacentral:ncRNA from 2 species
GGUUGAGCAAGCAGAAUAUGCUUGUAUUCAAGAGAUUUAUAUGUCUUCUGGGGUGGGGAGUC